AGCAGCCGCGGUAAUUCCAGCUCCAAUAGCGUAUAUUAAAGUUGUUGCAGUUAAAAAGCUCGUAGUUGAAUUUCGGGAUCAAUUCGUCGGUCGUGCUUUUUGUACGUACUGGUGUUAUUGGUUUCUCCCUUCUGACGAACCAUGAUGUCAUUAAUUUGGUGUUAUGGGGAGUUAGGACUGUUACUUUGAAAAAAUUAGAGUGUUUAAAGCAGGCAUUAGCUUGAAUACAUUAGCAUGGAAUAAUGAAAUAGGACGUUCGAUCCUAUUUUGUUGGUUUCUAGGAUCAACGUAAUGAUUAAUAGGGAUAGUUGGGGCAUUAGUAUUCAAUUGUCAGAGGUGAAAUUCUUGGAUUUAUUGAAGACUAACUACUGCGAAAGCAUUUGCCAAGGAUGUUUUCAUUAAUCAAGAACGAAAGUUAGGGGAUCGAAGACGAUCAGAUACCGUCGUAGUCUUAACCAUAAACUAUGCCGACUAGGGAUCGGAUGAUGUUAAUUUUUUAAUGACUCAUUCGGCGCCUUAC
rnacentral:rRNA from 1 species